rnacentral:rRNA from 1 species
GACGAACGCUGGCGGCGUGCCUAAUACAUGCAAGUUGAGCGAUGAAGAUUGGUGCUUGCACCAAUUUGAAGAGCAGCGAACGGGUGAGUAACGCGUGGGGAAUCUGCCUUUGAGCGGGGGACAACAUUUGGAAACGAAUGCUAAUACCGCAUAACAACUUUAAACAUAAGUUUUAAGUUUGAAAGAUGCAAUUGCAUCACUCAAAGAUGAUCCCGCGUUGUAUUAGCUAGUUGGUGAGGUAAAGGCUCACCAAGGCGAUGAUACAUAGCCGACCUGAGAGGGUGAUCGGCCACAUUGGGACUGAGACACGGCCCAAACUCCUACGGGAGGCAGCAGUAGGGAAUCUUCGGCAAUGGACGAAAGUCUGACCGAGCAACGCCGCGUGAGUGAAGAAGGUGUUCGGAUCGUAAAACUCUGUUGGUAGAGAAGAACGUUGGUGAGAGUGGAAAGCUCAUCAAGUGACGGUAACUACCCAGAAAGGGACGGCUAACUACGUGC